rnacentral:rRNA from 1 species
GGCCUACCAUGGUGGUAACGGGUAACGGGGUGUUAGGGCACGACACCGGAGAGGGAGCCUGAGAAACGGCUACCACAUCCAAGGAUGGCAGCAGGCGCGCAAAUUACCCAAUCCCGACACGGGGAGGUAGUGACAAUAAAUAACAAUACGGGGCUCUUUUGGGUCUCGUAAUUGGAAUGAGUACAAUUUAAAUCUCUUAACGAGGAACAAUUGGAGGGCAAGUCUGGUGCCAGCAGCCGCGGUAAUUCCAGCUCCAAUAGCGUAUAUUAAAGUUGUUGCAGUUAAAAAGCUCGUAGUUGAAUUUCGGGGUCAGUAGGUUGGUCGUGCCUAUGGUAUGUACUGGCUUUACUGAUUCCUCCUUCUUGAAGAAUUGUAAUGUCAUUAAUUUGGUGUUGCAGGGAAACAGGACUGUUACUUUGAAAAAAUUAGAGUGUUUAAAGCAGGCUAACGCUUGAAUACAUUAGCAUGGAAUAAUGAAAUAGGACGUUCGAUCCUAUUUUGUUGGUUUCUAGGAUUGACGUAAUGAUUAAUAGGGAUAGUUGGGGGCAUUAGUAUUCAAUUGUCAGAGGUGAAAUUCUUGGAUUUAUUGAAGACUAACUACUGCGAAAGCAUUUGCCAAGGAUGUUUUCAUUAAUCAAGAACGAAAGUUAGGGGAUCGAAGGCGAUCAGAUACCGUCGUAGUCUUAACCAUAAACUAUGCCGACUAGGGAUCGGAUGAUGUUAAUUUUUUAAUGACUCAUUCGGCGCCUUACG